GACGUAGGGUGCAAGCGUUGUCCGGAUUUACUGGGCGUAAAGAGCGCGUAGGCGGUCUGUUAAGUGUAGAGUGAAAUCUCCAGGGCUCAACCCGGAAACUGCUCUGCAUACUGGCAGACUGGAGGGACUGAGAGGUGAAUGGAAUUCCUGGUGUAGCGGUGAAAUGCGCAGAUAUCAGGAGGAACACCAAUGGUGAAGGCAGCUCACUGGGACGGUAUUGACGCUGAGACGCGAAAGCGUGGGGAGCAAACAGG
rnacentral:rRNA from 1 species